GACGAACGCUGGCGGCGUGCUUAACACAUGCAAGUCGAACGGAAAGGCCCUGCUUUUGUGGGGUGCUCGAGUGGCGAACGGGUGAGUAACACGUGAGUAACCUGCCCUUGACUUUGGGAUAACUUCAGGAAACUGGGGCUAAUACCGGAUAGGAGCUCCUGCUGCAUGGUGGGGGUUGGAAAGUUUCGGCGGUUGGGGAUGGUCUCGCGGCUUAUCAGCUUGUUAGUGGGGUAGUGGCUUACCAAGGCUUUGACGGGUAGCCGGCCUGGGAGGGUGACCGGCCACAUUGGGACUGAGAGACGGCCCAGACGCCUACGGGACGCAGCAGUGGGGAAUAUUGCACAAUGGGCGGAAGCCAGAUGCAGCAACGCCGCGUGCGGGAUGACGGCCUUCGGGUUGUAAACCGCUUUCGCCUGUGACGAAGCGGGAGUGACGGUAAUGGGUAAAGAAGCACCGGCUAACUACGUG
rnacentral:rRNA from 1 species